CAUAUCACUUUGAAGCACCGGUGCCCGUACGACCACUGAAGUUAAGCAAUCUAGAGCGUGGUUAGUACCUAGAUUAGUUACCGCUUGGAAAUGCAGGGUUCUGCAA